rnacentral:lncRNA from 1 species
GGUGCUAGACUCACAGGGCUCUCUCCUCUGUCUCUCUCUGCAUGCUCUGGUAGCUAGGCUAGGCUAGGUGCUAGACUCACAGGGCUCUCCUUCUGUCCCUCACUGCAGUGCUCAUAUAGCUAGGCUAGGCUAGGUGCUAGGCUCACAGGGCUCUCUCUGCUUCUGUCUCUCUCUGCAGUGCUCAGAUAGCUUGGUUAGGUGCUAGCUCACAGGGCUCUCUCUCCUUCUGUUCUCUCUGCAGUGCUCUGGUAGCUAGGCUAGGCUCACAGGUUUUUCUCUCCUUUUGUCUCUCUCUGCAGUGCUCUGAUAGCUAGGCUAGGUGCUAGACUCACAGGGCUCUCUCUCCUUCUGUCUCUCUCUGCAGUGCUCAGAUAGCUUGGCUAGGUGGUAAGUGCGCUAGGCUCACACAGCUCUCUCUCUCUCUCUCUCUCUCUGACAGCUGGUGCAGGAGCCUGGUGGUGAUCAUAGCUCUUUGAUCUGUUGGAUUUACUGGU